rnacentral:rRNA from 1 species
GAUGAACGCUGGCGGCGUGCCUAAUACAUGCAAGUCGAGCGAACGGACGAGAAGCUUGCUUCUCUGAUGUUAGCGGCGGACGGGUGAGUAACACGUGGAUAACCUACCUAUAAGACUGGGAUAACUUCGGGAAACCGGAGCUAAUACCGGAUAAUAUUUUGAACCGCAUGGUUCAAAAGUGAAAGACGGUCUUGCUGUCACUUAUAGAUGGAUCCGCGCUGCAUUAGCUAGUUGGUAAGGUAACGGCUUACCAAGGCAACGAUGCAUAGCCGACCUGAGAGGGUGAUCGGCCACACUGGAACUGAGACACGGUCCAGACUCCUACGGGAGGCAGCUGUAGGGAAUCUUCCGCAAUGGGCGAAAGCCUGACGGAGCAACGCCGCGUGAGUGAUGAAGGUCUUCGGAUCGUAAAACUCUGUUAUUAGGGAAGAACAUACGUGUAAGUAACUGUGCACAUCUUGACGGUACCUAAUCAGAAAGCCACGGCUAACUACGUG